GUACCCUCAAGCUCAGCUUGGUGAUGGGUGACUGUCCUCCCCUCGCGGGGGGACUCGCCUCAAAAACAUUGGCGGCCGGUACAUUGGCUUCGAGCGCAGCAGAAACGCGGUCUCGAGCCCGGUGGAUCGGCUCCCAUAAGCCUAUUCUUUUA
rnacentral:misc_RNA from 1 species